GUGAUUAGAGUACAAGCAGAUACUUGGUGAACUUCUACCAGGGAUGUUGGAGCGUGGAUGAUUUGCCAGGUGUUGCUGUUGGAGGAGACACAAAGCGCUCAAAAGCGCUUACAGAGAGCUCAAAAUGGGCAGUGGGCCAUAAGAACUUAGAGCCCUGAAACCAGAGGAAACUGUGGUGGAAAGGUUUGGGCUGGAGAGUUGGAGGCUGAGAGCAAACUGAUGAUCCUAACUCCAGUCGAACUUUGAAAAAGCAGCUAUGGAACAUUGAGAUCUCAAUCGAUAAUUAGGACAGACUCCAUCGUGGAUAUUAAGAGUGUGCAGAACAUAUGAAAUUCAGAUAUCAAGUCAUCACAGGAAAGAACAUUUCAUGGCAGAGGAAUGUUUCUAUGCGGGAGUCCCGGGAAUUCUUGUGGCAGC